AACUCAUGAUGAGGGCACCUUCUCAGAAGAUCCUUAAAUCUCUCUCAUGCAUCAUACAAUGUCUUAAGCUCAACUUGAACAAAAGAAGAGAUGUCAUUCCUCAACUU
rnacentral:snoRNA from 1 species